ensembl:lncRNA
CAUUUUCAGUGUCUUCCAGUGCUGCAAACACUCGGACAUUCCUGCUGCACUCAUACCUGUAUGGACAUCUAUUGGCUGUGUCUGCAUUACUCUGUGAAAAAGGGAGAAAUAGCUCACAUCAGUGCGUUUAAUUCUACAAGAAUUUUAUUCUAUCCCAUUCCAUCUUCUUUUUGGGAUAUUGGAAAGCUGCUGCACAUGCAAGAAAAGAGAUCUGGAUUUCACAAAUGAUUCCAGCUGGAUGGCUACUUCAGAGGGAGACCAGGAGAAACACCGCUGUGAAAGGCCAUGUGAUUAACGUGCAGUAAGACAUCCAGACUGUGCACUUUGACUGCAGGGAGGAUAUGGCCUUCCAUGAGAGGAAAGAUUCCGGUUCAUUUUACUGUGUGUAGGAAGUGGAUUUAUGCAGUGCUAUCGGUAGACAGGGAGGCAAGCACUGCUUCCUUGCUGACGACAGAAGUAUGUGAAACUGCUGUAAUCUGAUCACUAAAAACGAGUGGAAGACUGGUGAUGGGAUGAGCAGUAAAGCAGCAUCGUGGUUCAGAAGUGGCAGCCGAGACAUCCCCACACCUCUGCUGCAGUGAAGGGAGAAGCCUGGAAGAACUUCUACCAUAGGAAGUAUACAAAUCCUGGUUUUACUCAAAAUCCUACUUUCUCAUAGCAGCAGCAUUCUACUCAAUCAGCAUUCUACUCAAUACUAUCAAGAGAAAAGAGACAUAGCAAUUGAGAAACUGAGAGUCAGCUGGAAAGAGACUUGACAAUGUGGAUACCUGGAAGAUCAGGGGCCUGAAAUGAAAGCCUAAGCAGUUCUUUACCUUCUACCAUCUUGCUACGCAAUACUUCAAAGAGAAAAGACUUCACCCAUCCCCUAAGCACUUACAGUAAAAUUCAAGGCAUAAAGCAAGAGUGAUGGCCCUAAAAAAGAAACUGAGAGCUGUCAGAAGUCUGGCACAUGCACCACAUCAGGCUCCAAAACCACAUAUGAUCUAAAUUCACUUAAUUACUUCCACAGCUAUGCUUUGUACAUGUUUGUUGCUGCAGAUUCUGGAUUCUUCCCCAGGCUUAGUGCACCAGUAUCAACUACCCCAGGUUGUGCCAAGGAGCUUGUCCUGCACAUGAGGGUGUCCAGCACACACAAAGAACUACUUGCUCAUUUUGCUCUGGCACACACAUAUCUAUCCAGUUAACCUUUUAAACCCCUCCCAGUAUCUGCAGCAGCUCAAUGAACAGCAGGUGAAGCAAAUGACCAAUCAUCCAAUGGCACUCACCAAGCCAUAGGGAAUGGAGACACCCACUGACAUCUUCCCAAAGAGCCCAUGAGAAGAGCUGGGUACCUACAUCUGUGUGCUCCAGCUCAGAUCCAUCUGGGCUUAGGCACCAUGGUUACAGAGAGGGAGCACUUCUCCAUUUGGCUAAUGGUUUCUCCAGUCUCUCUGAUUAUCUAGCUAACAUAGCUUUGUGUCUGCAGCAUUUAUGCUAGCAGGAGCACUAUAAGAGCUAAGAGCUUCAUGCUCCAAAUUCUGUAGUUGGGACCUGCAGCUGGAGACUCAUAGAGUCACAGAAUAGAAUCAUAGAAUGUCCUGAGUUGGAAGAGACCUGCAAGGAUGAUUGAUUCCAACUCCUGGCUCCACACAGGACCAUGCGAAUUUCAAACCAUGUGUCUGAUAGCAUUAUGCCUUUGUCCAAAGGACUUGGGAGAUGGUGUUGAAGUCCCACAAAGCGGGAACAUGUCUCACAGAAUUGACAAGCAUGGUGGAGACAAGCUUAGUGCAGAUCUGUUAUUUACUAUAUAUGUUGUAGAGUCUCUGUGGCCUCCACAAGAGCAAACCAGCAUUGCUGGGGGAGAGUCAGCAGCAGACAGGAAAAUACCAAGUACUCGUGACUAAUAAUUUUGUAGAUGGGAGCAGAUCCUUACCAAACUACCCAAAGAGCAUAUAUCUGUUGGCCAGCACCAAGAUUAAAAAUAAAAAAUGCCUUACAGAUCCAGAAUAGGGUAGCUAGCUGGCAUCAGUGUAAAGAACCCCGGCACAUUAGUUUCAUGGCCAACAAUUUAGCAUUCAACUAUCAGCACGGUGCUCGUAAUGGUAGAGAUUGCUGAGUGAAGUGCAGUAUCUUCUGGGGAAUGAUGAAGCUGUCACUUCUGCAAAAUUCUUUCCAUUCCAUUUCUCAGUUUUCACUCCUUUAUUAUCGUUAUUUCAGCUUAGCCACGGAGUUUUCCAGGGAUAAGUGAAGUCCAAAUUCCUAAUAUUAAAGAAACAAACAAAAGGAAUGCAAACAGAGAGAGAGGGGAAAAAAAGAUCUGGAGGAAAACCAAAUCUUUCUGCACUACAACGCAGUCAAAACAAAACACACCCACAUUCCCCCCACUUUGUAGUUCACUUUUAUGUAGAGCUGUGUCCAUCAGCUGGAAGCUGUCUCGCUGUUUGCACUGUGCAUGGGGAUGUGCCAGAGAUUCCCUCUUACUCCCCUGGGUGGGAUGUAAAGAAUUUCUCUGCACAUAGCUGGCAUUCCUAUUGAACUGAGUCACUUCGUAGCCCAGACAAUAAUGCCAGUCUUAUCCAAACACUCAGAGAUAGACACUGUGAUUUUUUUCUAAUGAUAUCAUUAUGAGAAUGUCCAUUGGAUAUGAAGCAUCCUGGACAAAACUUGUGUUAAAAACCACAUAGCCCAUGCUCACCACCUGCAGUUAAGAGACAUACCUGGCUGUCCCACUUUCCCAAGAUUAAUUAUUCAAGCCUGAGGAAAAGGGGCCAAAAUUACAGUGCAUACGUUACAACAAAUGAGUUCCUGAAGAUGCAGUCAUGAUGCAGUCAUCAUGUGUUCCUUCCUCCUGGUGGCAACCAGAAUAAGCACCAAACUGCUCUGUUGGUUUUUGUUCCUAAACAUAAACCCUCACAAUCCUUUACCAGUAGCUUUGGCAGAACAUCUCAUCUUUGCCGUGUUUGUGCUGCAGUGGCAGGGCACAAACAGAACUUUUUUUUACAGAGGCCAUUAGUUGGAAAUACAAUACUAGUCAAAACUGAACAUGGGUCACAAGCUGCCGAAGCUGUACUUCUACUUGGAAGACAUUACUAGAUAGAUGAAAACAAAUAUCCUGUGGUCACUGUAGUGUGAGACCGUGAUGGAACCCAAUGUGAGAAAGAAAAGGAGUGGAAAAAGAGGUGGCUCUUACCUUGUGCUUAGAUUCUGUUUAUUAAAUAAAAAUAUA